GAGCAUACGCGUACACCACUUCAGUCUUCUUCCCAAAUUGUCUCUUUCGUUUAAUAAAUUAUCCGUUACAAGUUUCGUGCUGGCAGCCAUAUGUUAUGGAAUUCAAAUUUUGAAUUUUGCUUCGUAUCAAAUGUCCGUUGGGAAUCCGUUAUCCUCAAGAAAGGAAUUCAAAUUUUAAAUAUCCAUUCAUCCUCAAUUCAUUCCCCUCUUUCUUCUUCGGUUGGAACACACAGAAGUAGCAUACAGAGAAACGCUUAAGGGUUAUUGUUCUUGAAGUAUAGACUAAACAUUCAGAGUCUGGAUUUUCGUUUAUUUGAUGUUCACCAAAGUCUCACCGUUGCUAGCUCGUUUGUUCCAAUCAAAGAAAUGGGAGAACACACAGAAUCAGCAUACAUAGAGAGAUUUUACAAAAAGAAGUAACACAGAAACGCCUAAGGGUUAGCAUUCUUCAAGUAUACACUAAACAUUCGGAGUCUGGAUUCGAAGUCUUCCUUCUCGUUUGUUUGAUGUCCACCAGAGUCUGUCGGAGUCUCACCAUUGAUAGCUCGUUUGUUCAAGUCAGAGAGAUGGGAGAACACACUUCAUAUAUAAAGGGAAAAAAUCAGCAUACCGAGAGAUUUUACAAAAGAGUAAGAAGAAGUUAUAGAGAAAUGCUUAAGGGUUAGCUUUCUUGAAGUAUACACUAAACAUUUGGAGUCUGGAUUCAGAGGCUUCCUCCUCUUUUGUUUGAUGCCCACUAGAGUCUGUCGGAUUCUCACUUCAAUUCACCAUUGCUAGCUCGUUUGUUCCAGUUAGAGGUAACUUCCGCCCUAUGUAACACUCUCACCUCAUCUGUCAUUCUUUAUUUUUGAAUCAUGCGUGUUGCUUUAUUAUUAUCUAGAAAUGUUUGUUGGGCCUUAUUACAGUUCGAAUAUUGCCACGUGUUGUAUUUUCUGCUCGAU